AUGCAGAGAGGCGCUCUCCUGCUCAUUUUCUGCAUCAUCCCUGGCUUUCCCCUUGCUUAGAGAACACUGUAGGUACUAAGUGAAGACAGAAAACUGAAGAUAGCAUAUCUGGAAGGGAUUGGACAAGGACAGAGAGAGGCAGUGCCAAUGUUCUGCUGUAUACUGAACGUGAUUGUGGUCAUGUUGAUGAGGCUCCAAAAUGACCUGACUUGCAAAAGAGACCCAUGACUCUAUAAGGCACUUGGCCUAAAAUGGAAACACACAGAAAAGACCCCAGAAGUGCAACAGCACUGCUUACUCAUGUCUACCUUACUUCACUUAUUUUCCACUGUGUUAUUUUCCCAACUAAACAGAGACUGAUAAUCCUGCCUUAUUUAACAUCUGUUUUUUGUACUCACUUA